rnacentral:rRNA from 1 species
AGGUGAACCUGCGGAAGGAUCAUUAUCGUUGGGCUCCUGCCCAUUCGAGAUAACACCCUUGCCUUUUUGAGUACCUUUUCGUUUCCUCGGCAGGCACGCCUGCCAACGGGGACCCUUCAAAACGCUUUGUAAUACCUGUCAUUGUCUGAUAUAACAAGCAAAAAUCAAAACUUUCAACAACGGAUCUCUUGGUUCUGGCAUCGAUGAAGAACGCAGCGAAAUGCGAUAAGUAGUGUGAAUUGCAGAAUUCAGUGAAUCAUCGAAUCUUUGAACGCACAUUGCGCCCUUUGGUAUUCCUUAGGGCAUGCCUGUUCGAGCGUCAUUUAAACCUUCAAGCUCAGCUUGGUGAUGGGUGACUGUCCCCUCCCUUCGCGGGGGGACUCGCCUCAAAAACAUUGGCGGCCGGUACAUUGGCUUCGAGCGCAGCAGAAACGCGGUCUCGAGCCCGGUGGAUCGGCUCCCAUAAGCCUCAUUCUUUAUUUUGACCUCGGAUCAGGUAGGGAUACCCGCUGAACUUAAGCAUAUCAAUAAGCGGAGGA